rnacentral:rRNA from 1 species
CAGAUGAGCUUGCGUACCAUUAGCUAGUUGGUAGGGUAAUGGCCUACCAAGGCUACGAUGGGUAGCUGGUCUGAGAGGAUGAUCAGCCACACUGGAACUGAGACACGGUCCAGACUCCUACGGGAGGCAGCAGUGGGGAAUCUUCCGCAAUGGCCGCGUGAGCGAAGAAGGUUUUCGGAUUGUAAAGCUCUGUGAUAUUGGACGAACGAUUUCCCGUAAAUAAUGGGAAAGAAUGACGGUACAAUAAGAGGAAGCCACGGCUAACUACGUGCCAGCAGCCGCGGUAAUACGUAGGUGGCAAACGUUGUCCGGAAUUACUGGGCGUAAAGGGCGAGUAGGUGGUUUGCUAAUCAGAAGUGAAAACUCCAGGCUCAACUUGGAGACUGCUCUACGAAACUGGUAGACUUGAGUGCAAGAGAGGGAAGUGGAAUUCCUAGUGUAGCGGUGAAAUGCGUAGAUAUUAGGAGGAACACCAGUGGCGAAGGCGACUUCCUGGCCUGUAACUGACGCUGAGGCACGAAAGCGUGGGGAGCAAAUAGGAUUAGAUACCCUAGUAGUCCACGCUGUAAACGAUGAAUACUAAGUGUUGGAGUCUUAAAGGGUCGGUGCCACAGCUAACGCAAUAAGCACUCCGCCUGGGGAGUACGGUCGCAAGACUGAAACUCAAAGGAAUUGACGGGGGCCCGCACAAGCGGUGGAGUAUGUGUUUAAUUCGACGCGAAGAACCUUACCAAGGCUUGACAUCCUGUGACAGCUAUAGAAAUAUAGACUUCUUAGUUUACUUGCACACGGAGACAGGUGGUGCAUGGUUGUCGUCAGCUCGUGUCGUGAGAUGUUGGGUUAAGUCCCGCAACGAGCGCAACCCCUACAGCUAGUUGCCAGCACAUAAUGGUGGGAACUCUAGCAGAACUGCCGUUGACAAAACGGAGGAAGGUGGGGAUGACGUCAAAUCAUCAUGCCCCUUAUGUCUUGGGCUACACACGUACUACAAUGGCCUGAACAGAGGGAAGCGAAACUGCGAAGUUAAGCGAACCCCUUAAAACAGGUCCCAGUUCGGAUUGUAGGCUGCAACUCGCCUACAUGAAGUCGGAAUCGCUAGUAAUCGCAGGUCAGCAUACUGCGGUGAAUACGUUCCCGGGCCUUGUACACACCGCCCGUCACACCAUGGGAGUUGGGAGCGCCCGAAGUCAGUAUCCUAACCGUAAGGAGGGAGCUGCCGAAGGCGAGAUCAAUGACUGGGGUGAAGUCGUAACAAGGUAACC